GGGGGGUUGGCGAAAUCGGUAUACGCAGGAGCUUUGGGAGUUGCCGGCAAUUUGCCAUGCGGGUUCGAAUCCCGCACCCCUCACCC
rnacentral:tRNA from 1 species